AGGGUAUCGUUGCUAUCGUUUUCCCCAAUUAGGCUGACAACAAAAUCCCCUUCUCUACUGUACCGUUCUCUUUAUGCGGCUGUGAUUUGGGGACGGUGAGCAAGGGGGAGAUCACGGGAGGACGCGGCGUGCUGCUCGACCUCAUCGACGACGGUGCUGGAGGUUUGUGGGGCGGAGGAGGCGGUGACUGAGCUGAAGAAGGGUACACUGGUUCGUGGAUUUCCUAGCGAAUUGGUGUGUGCUGCUGGUUUUCGAGGACAUUUCUGACCGAGGAGGGACCGCGCGUUCGAGUAGCUGUUCUUGCGCCAGCUACCAGCGAGAUCGCAUCUCGCCGUCGCUGAUCUGGAAAGGCAGAUGUCGCUCCGCCGGGGAGGUCAUGGGUACUGGCAGCGAGCUUUGGCGUUGUGUUGAACGGCCUGCAGUUCCUUGUCGCUUAGGAUGAGGAAAAACGACAUGUAUGAAUCUCUCUGCCGCUCUGCACACUCCCAUUAUCCUCUUGCUUUGCAUCAUUUGUACUUCAUAAUGUGAUUUACUUAGUUUGUGUAUUUAAGCAAGUUAACAUUUGGAACUUUAAAAGCAUUUUUGUUUACAUUUUAGCGCUGAUUUUGCGCUUGCAAUUUCAAGUUAGGAGAUAACCUCGUAGGUACUUUCUUGUUCAUGUAUGGAUUAUCUGCAUGAUCUGCACUAUAUAAUUAUUUGAUAAGUCAUUGAUCUCCUUUUCAUUUUGUAGGGAAUUGAACUUGUAUUUUUUUUCAUGUUAACAUUGUACUGAUAUUUAAAUUAUUGUCUCUUCAGCAUUUCCUUGAUAAUAAUAAUUAGAUUGAUAGAGACGUUGAAAAUUGUCAAUGGUGCUGUCAAUAUAAUGUAGAUUUGAUAUAUUUUUUUGCUAAAUGAUCUUGAUUUACUUUUUCAAACAUGUUGACCUUUUUCAACGUGCUUCCCGUCCCAUUAUGCGUACAUUUUUUAGAAGAAACUAGUAAUAAAGUACGUGCAAUGCACGUUUAUAUUAGGUAGGAUAUUGGUUGCACGUUAUAUUAGAUAAGAUAUAUCUAUUGCACGUUGGUAUUUGGUAAGAUUUCAAUUACUUUUUUUGCGGGAAUGGUAGGAUAUUAAUUACGUGACAGAUUUCAUGGGACAGCGUUGAGUCAAAACGUGUUUAUAACCAAUGGCAGUGGUGGGUAAUUAGAGCGUUAAACGUGUUUGGUGCUCAACAUUGGAGCGAUUUGAACCGCUAGAUAUCAUGAUUUGACGGUUGAGAUGGUUUGGAUCUGCCCGUUUGGGUCUUUUUAUAUUGGUAUAGAUAUAGAUAUAGAUAGAUGUGUACGCCUCUUUUUUUAAGGGAUGUACGCCGCUCCCUUUCUUCUUUGCCUUUGAAGGGGAAUUGAAAGAAACUGAGGCUGCCCGUCCAUGGGGUGAUUCUGCCCCAAAUCUAAGUGCCCUGCCCGUCCAUGGUGCGAUCCUGUAGCAAGUCGCAAGGGGAAAAAGACAUCGAGGCUGCUGCCCCAAAUCUGAGUGCCCUGCCUGUCCACGGGGAGAUGCUGUACCAAAUCGCAAGUGGAGUACUAUACCAGAUUGAUUUGCUUGCCCAUCCGUGGCCAAAGCUUGGAGGAGGUGACGUUGGUGGCCAUUUUUUGCCCAGGCCGGGACAUGCGCUGCGGAUCAGGCGUUGCCCACCAGCGAGGCGGCAUCUCACUGUUGCUUAUGUUGGAAGUCCAUUUGCGAUGGGCCAUCUUCUGUUUGUCUGUCGCCUUAGGCUGCGGACGUGCUGACAGGUAUGAAUCCCUUUGUACUCUCCCAUUCGCCUCUUUUUUUUCGAAAAGGGGGUUUACCCCAGUCUCUGCAUCAGAAAGAUGCAUACGGCUCAUCCCAUUCCCCUCUUGCUUUCCAAAUCUGCAUCAUAAUUUCAUUUUUUAUAUUAAAUGUAAAUUCAGAUUUUGGCUUUACAUUUUUAAAAUUUGAAGUAUUCGUGUUUACAUCCUAGCAUUGAUUAUGCCAUUGUAAUUUGAACUUUUUAGAUAAUCUCGUACAUACUUUUGUUGUUAAUGCAUGGAUCUAUAUUCAGUUCUGCAAUUUAUAUACCUUGCAUUUUUUAGGGAAUCAAACUGACAUUAGUGUAAAAAUUAUGAUGGAUGAACUUGUAAUAUAUUCUGAUAGAAUUGACAUUCAAGUUUUACCAAAUUGUAGAUUUGUGAGAAUCAUGUUUCAGACUGGUUAUUAUUCCAGAUCUGCAAUAAGAUUUUGAAACUUUUGCCCAUGCAGAAAGUCAGCUAGUUGUACACAUUUGUUAACAUCUCUAUUCAUGAAAGCAGUGUAUGGCAAUAAUAAUCUGCAUUGUUAUGUUCUUAUUUCUUGUUACGAAAUAAUGAGAAAUCCAAUCUGUAAUAUCAUUUUGUAUACAUUAUUUCUAGUCAUAUCUAACAACACAUGGACGUCACAGUUCUGAACCAUACAUUGUACUUUUUAAAUCAUGAUUUGGCCCUGAUAUACAUUUACUUGAAUAACAAAAAAAAAUAGAAGAUCUCUUUGUAUACUAUAUUUAUAUUCUUUGCGCUAUCUUCGCUUGGGCACUCCGUGUCAUCAAUCAGCACCUUUAAUCCUUCUCUGCUUGUGACUCUUGAUAGUGCCACAUAUAGUUGCCCAUGGCAGAAGACUUGCUUAGGCAAAUAUAGACCCACCUUGUUUAGGGAUUGACCUUGGCUUUUAUUUAUUGUCGUUGCAAAACAAACUGAUAGAGGAUAUUGCCUUCUUUUUAGCACGAAGGGCCACUUUGAGUCGCUUGGUGACAUAAUGAUAUUAGGUAUGUAUACCUUGUCACCGACAUGUGUUCCUGUGAUUAUUUGUGCCUCAAUGUACCUGUUUCCCAGCUGUGUAAUAGUCAUUCUUGUACCAUUGCAUAAACCUGCUGCUUGAUUGAUGUUGCGUAGGAGCAUCACCGGCAAACCUACCUUCAGUUUUAGCUCGUGGUUUGGAAUUUUUGGGAUAGUCAUGUUGUUAAGAAACUCUGUUGGACACAUAUUCUCCAUUGUGUUGUACUUCAUUGUUGCCUUGCAUACAGUGUCCAAGCUUAGGUAUGUCACCUCUUCCCCUUGUAUUUGGCUCAUUAUGUAGUCAUUUAUCUUCUCAACUGUUUCAUUCCUUGGACAUAGUAUUGCUCUUUCUUCGAGAAAUUCACGGUCAUGGUAGUUUUGUUGCAAGUUUGGGUACGUGCUUUUGACUAUCUCUUCUUUGGGGUCUUCUCCUUUAUGUAGAAUUAUGUCUUUAGGUAUUUUUACCCAAUCAUCCCCUUCAUCGUUUGUUCUUUUUCCGUCCCCAAUUUGUAAUAUCCAUGCUGCAAAUUGAGCCACAUUUUGCUUUUGUAUUGGAUCUUCUGACAGGCACUUCAACCGCAUAUUUUCAGUUAGGCUAAAUAUUUCGAUGUGCUUCCAUAGGUAUGACCUUUUGAUUGAGGCAUUUACUAUCUGUUCUCUCCUUCCCUUUGUUAUGACUGGAAGUAUUUGUCUGAAGUCGCCUCCUAGCACCACGGUCAUGCCACCAAAUGGCCUUUCGAGACUGUUUUGGUUUGUGAACCUUAUAAUAUCCCUAAGGCUUUUGUCUAGUGCCUCGAAGCAGUGUUUGUUUGCCUUCGGAGCCUCGUCCCACAAUAUCAGUGAGGUCUUCUUUACCAGUUCAGCCAAAUGUGAGCCUUGUUUUAUUUCACAUGUUGGUUCUUCCGUGAUAUUUAUUGGAAUGUGGAAUCUUGAGUGUGCUGUUCUUCCACCUUGGAGCAGCAAAGCUGCAAUGCCAGAUGAUGCUACCGCAAGCACUAUCUUUCCCUCUGAUCGUAGUUUCGUUGUAAUUGCUUUCCAUUGAUAUGUUUUGCCUGUGCCACCAUAGCCUUCUACAAAUAUCUGUUUUCCAUGUUCUCUCUCAGCUGACUCUAUUAUUGCAUCAAAGGCCAUUUUCUGGUCAUGGUUAAGAUUGCUUAUUAUGGUUUUGUGCUCACCUUUAGUGUUUCCAUGUCGUAGCUAAGUUCUUCAUUUAUCAUUCUGUUCCCAAGUUGUUCAAGUUCUGUAGCAUUUGGUAGUUCUAUGUCUGGAUAGUCCUUUAGUGUCUUUCCUGCUUGCCUCAUUAGUUUCUCUAUCUCGAUCAGAGCAUAUGCUUUUUUUUGUGAAUCAGUGAGCUGCAGCAUAGGAAAGUUUAGGAUAAUUCUUCUUUUGUACUGGAUAUCUUCAGAUAGUGCCUCCCAUGUUGAAUCCCACAACAUCUUUGGGCUGGUAACCUCACAAUGGCAUAAAAUUGUGCUGAAUAGCUGUCGUAAUUGUGUCCCGGAUCCCCAUGUUGAUGCUUCAUUGAUGCAUUCAAUCCACUCACUAUCAUCAUCAAGAAAACCAAGCGUCUGGCAUGCUGAUUUGUAUGUUGGGUGAACAACUCCAUUAACUGUUCUAAUAUCCUCAAAUGAUGUGCAUCCUUUCUUUGUGUUUAGAAGCAUUCUCAUAUAAUACCGCUCUCCACUUGCAGGUGUGCAUAGUAGAUUCAACCAAUAGCAAAGCCUCUUUUCCGCUCCUCCCAAGUUUUGGUGUCGCUUUUCCAUACAAAUUUUGAUGGCAAUUCUGCAUAGUCUCUCUACUAGUGGAUCACGAUGGUGUAGUAGAUCAAACUGGAAUAUCCGCCAGCAUGCUUCAGUUGUUGAUAUGUAUCUCAUCUCUAGGUAUUUCUUGAUUUCAUCAUAGUCGUUUGCCGCGUCUCUUUCCUUUAGUAAGGCUGUUACUUGGUCGUCGUCUUUAUGGAUGUACUUAAAUAGGUACUCCCUCCUUCCCAAAAUAUAAGGCACGAUUGACUUUUUACGGUCUUUGAUGCACAACUUUGACCACUAAUAUAUAUCAAAGUAUAUGGAUUGAACAUGUAUAAAUGACAUCGCCGUAUUUGUCUUGCAAAGCAAUUUUAUUUCAUAUGUAUGUAUACUAAUUUUAUAGACAUAUAAUACAUAAAAAUUAUAGUCAAAGUUGUGCAACGAAGACCAGAAAAGUCAAACCGUGCCUUAUAUUUUGGGAAGGAGGGAGUACUUGAUUGACCUGGACCUGUUGCACCACUCGACAUUUAUGUGAGCUCGGAAUUUGACCAAAAGGUUUCGGUUAUAUGGCACGACAAAUCUGUUGUCGAGCAUUGCUCCUCCCUUUUUGAUCGUCCUUCCAUUGUCGCGCCUUCUAUAUACUGGAAAGCCAUCCUCAUCGAUUGUGGCAUCGACAUUAUAUCAUUUUGGGAAGUGUUUAGUGCAUCUAUUGUCCAUCAUGCAUGGUGAUUUUGUAUUUGCCUCUCCGCAAGGCCCGUGCAUCAUGAAGUUUUCAACAGCUGCAUAUCCGUCAGGAUCGACAUCUUUGUCUGGGAUCUCCGCACUGAUUAUUUGAUCGAUUUCUGAUGGUCCUUUGCACUUGUAAUUCUCCUUGAGGAAUACCAAUAUGUGCGCAUGCGGGAGUCCCCUCUUCUGGACUCUAUUGUGUAGAUAACUGCAUUGAUUAAAAGUUUGAUUUUGUUAGAUUUCUGAAGAAUUUUAGUAAAUAGACAAAGGCUAUGGUGUGCUAAAAAAUUUAAACUUUAGGUUCUAUUAGUUAGCAAUGAGAAGUUGGCUGAUCUUACUUGAUAUAGUUUCUCCAAAGUGUUUUUUCACAACGAUGUCUCUCAUUAGCUCCUUCAGUUUUAUCAUGAAUACUCGGUCAAUAAUAUCUGGCGGGUCGGCUGGAUUUAGGCCUCCUCCUGGUUCAUCUAGCAUGUAUUGGAUCUCGGGCCACUUCGUGUUGCAUGUGAAUGUUAUAAACAGGUCUGGAUAUCCAGCCCAACAGCAUAUUGCAAAAGCGUCUUGCAAGUUCUGUGCCUUGUUUCUUCUGCCUCCUGUAUAAGAUGAAGAUACAAUUAUCCUCUUUCCAACCUGCUCUGUUCUGGUGUCCCCUCGCUCAAUCGCGUCCUGCAGUCCACUGUAAAGUUCACUCCGUAGCUUCCCUUGAUUAUUCCUGAUCCAAUUUAGUCUGUUUGCUCAAUGCAUGUGUAAACAUCUACCCAAAAUUGCAGAGACAGAUGUCUAGACGUUAGCAGCGACAUUCCUUGGUCGGGUCUUUGCUGUAGGUAGUAUGCGUAGUAGUCCAGCAUAGUUACAUAUUUCCUGCUUUUGUCAUCUUCUUUUGUUCGGUUGUAAGGUAUUUCAAGCUUGAAGCCGUCUUCUCCGUAUGGAAACAACAAUGGGUAUUGCAUCGACAUUAAUUUUGGAUGGGUUUCCGAUAUUCUGUGAGGCACCAUAUUUUUGUACUCGACAACGAUAUCUCGUCCUUCGCUCUCUCCAGUUAGGUCUCUUACAACCAAUGCUGCAACUUCCGAUGCAGAUGGAAGGUUGUGUGUUCCGUUCCUUUUCCCAAGUAUUCUAAGUGUGUAAUCAUGGUAGUCUUCUUCUUUGAAUCUAUCUCUUGCCAUUCUGAAAGAUUUUGCGAGGACGUUGUUCUCAUCAAGCAUUUUUUUGUAGUUCUUUGACAAUGGCAGGGUCCACAGUUGAUUUAUUAUCAUUGCAUCUUGAAGCAUCUAUCCUGUUUUGCACUUCUGUCUGAUAGAUAUAUAGCUGGGCAAAUCGAGGUUUGUUACCUUCUUCAAGUAGAAGAGUUCCAAUAUGGUGAUAGUUCUGGCCAUGCAGUCUAAAAACAUAUGGUCCUUUGCCUUUGUUUAUUUCUUUGUCAACAGUUCCACCCAUUGAUGUGAAUGAGAACAUUGAGUUGUAUGACCUGAUAUUUUCUCUGAAGUUUGUUGCAUCACUUCCUUCACCUGUUAAUAGUCCUGCGAGGUAAGGUGGAGGAUGUGCCAUCUUUGGUAGGUCAAUCUUACCUUGUUUACAGCAAAUUCCGAAAGAAGGUUUUUUGGUUCCUCUAUGAGAAUUUAAUCUUUUUUCACACCAUAGUAUUGCAUUGCAAUGUUCACAUCUAUAUGUUGGCUUUCCAAAGUUCCAUAUUUUGCUAUAAUAACUCUCGGACGUAGUGCUGCUGUUUGUUUCUUUGAUGUUGCUUCCAAGGUCAUUGUCGCUCCUACUUGUUCUUGCAUGCUUCACAUUUGUUCUUUCUUUGAUUUAUUCCUUUCUCUUCCGUGAAGCAUCUUCUUCUUUUUUAUUGGUUGUUUCCUGUGUAUUCCUGCAUCUCUUACUCCUUUUUUCUUGGAGUUGUUGUUUCCUCCUGAUAAUAGCUUCUCUAGCUUCUUUUGUAAGUUAGCCUGCGGAUUUUGACGUGUACUGUCCCUUCAUUUCUGCAUUGGAUAUUCUUUUAGCAAUAUAGUAUCAUAUAUUUAAAUUCUACUUUAUGUACAAUGUUCUCAAGAGAUUAACAAUAUAUGCAGUAAAUAAGAGAUUCUUGCUGCAUGUAGAAACAACCUAUAAUACUUAUCAUCAUGCUUUCAGGAUUAUUGUGUUGUGUGGUUGGAGCUGCAGUGGAUGGCAUUAUUGCUGUGACAGUGUGCUUGUUUCUCAGUGAACGACAGUUGCUCCAUGGGAAUUAGUACGGCGAAGUACUCUCUAAAAUCAUUUUUAGCACUAUACGUAAAAUUAUUAGGUUCUGCAAUAUUUCAAAGGGCAAUAUUUCAAAUAUAUAUGUUAGAAAAGUACCAAAAAAUAGUAAGCAUUACAUUAAAGAUAGAAAAAGGUCAACAAUAUACCUGAUUGUGUUUUCUUUUUCUUUUUAAUUUUUGUAAAGCUUCACACGCCUGAGCCAAUUAUUGUCGUAAUUGUAUCUUUGCUGCAAAUCAAAUCCUGUAGCGAUUCUGGAUUUUUUUGUAGCAAAUUAUUAAAGCAUAUCUUUGUAUUGCUGCCAUGACUUUAUCAGCCUGUGUGUCAGUUUUAGUUCACAACAGAAGCUGGUACUAUUUUCUCAAAGAAAAUAGAGUUUAUGUCAAGAGCCAAGGCAAGACGUGCGAGGAUAGUUUAUUUCAGUCAGUAUUAUAAUUAUAUGCCUAAAUGUAAAACAAUGUAAUAAUGAAUAAAAAAAUAUGAGGUUGCUUUGAAUUGAUGAUAAUAGUAGUUUUCCACGGAGAGCAUUUACCUUCUAAUCUGAAGUCUGGCAUGCCCGACUCAUGUGCAAGUUUUCCUGCGAUUCAAUCUAGAUCGGUUGUGACUAAUCUUGUUGACUUUGUUUUUGAUGGGUUGAUGGUCCAAAGGUCUAGAUGAUACGAUCCCGUGGUUCACCGAAGUGUUUGUUCCAGCUAUUUAAGGGCAGUACGCUAACACGUGCUCGUAUCAGCCUAUCCAAUAAGGAGUAGGAACUGAGUUCCGAUAAGGAGUAGGAACUGAGUUGGUAACGAUUACGGUAUAGAGAUAAAAUUCCAAAUCCAAGUUUACAUACACCACGUAUGAAGCCUAUUCAGGCCCAGCAGUUUUGAUGGGGGCCCAUGUUAGUCAUUUAGUAAAUUACCACCCCGUAUAAACAACCCAUACAGGUCGUCAUCUAUGUAGAACUCUCAUCUUUUAUAAAAGAAAAAUAUCUCUCAGCUCAAUCAAUCCCCACCAGCAACCUUAUCCAUCCGCCUGCACCACCUCUUCCAUUAUCCGACUGAUGAAGAUCUUGCCGCUUGCCAUCACCGAACUAAUUCCCAAACCAUCGCGACUACACUUGUUGAUUCAUUUCUUCCAACUUCUCUUCGUCUGGCGCAGUCUGCAGUUGCGCGGAGUGCGCGGGCGCAUUCUCAAGGACCUGGAUCCUCGACGACCUCGUGGAGUCCGGCGGAGCGUUCUCAAGGGUUUCGGCCAAGGUGAUGACAUGGCCGACGGCUAGAGAACCAUGGCAGAGGUAUUGUAGUUUGAUCCAAUGGAGGAGGCUGUUACGGAACUCACCGAGUCAUCCACUGAUGGUGAAUUAUUGGAUCUGACUACAGUGAGAUGCUGGCCUCCUCUUUGUUCUUGCUGGCCUCCUCAUUGUUCUUCCUGUCAAAUUACUAUUAAAUGUAAGUGUAAACUGAUGAUUUGCAUCCUCUGUACUGAAGAUUAUUUCUUGUUUAUUUUCUUAAACUGCAAAGGCCUUAUCUUGUGUGUGUUAAUAUGUUACCUUGGAUAUUAAUUUUGGUAUAGGUUUGUUGCGCAAAAACUCACUUGUUGAAUUUUCUCAAGUAACAUCUGGUAACCAUAUCAAGUAACGGAGAAACAUAUUCUAGUUUCCAGCAAGACGUCGUUGAUUUGCUUAUAUCCAGUUCUGCUAUUAAUUUACUGAAGCAUGUUCCUCUAUAUUGUGCUGGUCUCAUAUAGAUUUGGCAAAGUAUAAUUUCUUCAAAUUGUGAAGUGAAACCUAAUGUGGAAACUCUAGUAUUGUAGUAUGUUUCUGCCUAUUGUGCUCGCCUUAUACAUAUUUGCCGAAAAUAGCAUGUACAUAAAGGAAACUAGAUGAAGAAAGUUAACUAUCUGUUUUGAACAUUGGUACAUUCAGACCCUUAAUCUAAUACUAUCCUUCUUAUCCUGGUCAAUAUCAAAUACUCUUACUUAUCUUGGUCGAUACAAAUAAAUUGCCGUACUAUUUAUUUCAUAAGCUACUGAUCCACUAAUUAUCUAGAUGACUAAGAACAUUGGUAACAUUCACACCCUUAAUCUAAUAAGUAUCCUUCUUAUCCUGAUCGAUAUUAAGUACUCUUACUUAUCAUGGUUGAUACAAAUAUACUGUCGUACUAUUUAUUUCAUAAGCUACUGAUUCACUAAUUAUCUAGAUAACAUCCUUGUUCUCCUGGGCUUUGCUUUCCAUACUUCAUCUUCAUCUUCAAGCAUUGUAUUUUUGGCCUUUUGUCCUUUUGUUCAGGCAUAUUCGUCUCAGUGCAUUCAUCCUCUGAGCUAUCUGAUAUUGCAACAGAUCUAAGUCUCCUUUUAUUGCCACUUCGGAGCACACGUGAUGACGAUGAUACUUUGUCUUGACGCUUAUCUUUGUUUAAUGUAGUCCCAUUGCUAUCAUUUGGCUCCUCUUUCACAGGCACCCGUUCGCAUGAAAGUUCGCCAGGUGAAACUUUAUUAUUCUUUGACUGCAAUCAUAUAGAAUUUCAAAAUUAGACACAUCUCUAAAAUCUGAAGUUUGUAUAUAGUUUUAAAAAAUCAUUCACCUUUCUAUCCGGCAUGUUCUGCUUCUUCAUUAACACGGUGUCAACUUCAUCAUCCAUCAGUUCCUGUGCAACAUAUGUAAGAUGAAUUAGUUAAGGAAUUCUGAAAAUGGUAAAAAUUUAAUGCGACUUUACCUCCUCGGCUUUAUUGUCCAAGUAGAGCAUCUCAACCUUAGCAUUAGGCACAAAUGUUCUUUUUACUGCAUAGUUUUGUGUGCCGAAUGUGAGAUUACUAUCAUUGAGCCUUAACCGAAAUAUAAGUCUUUUUCCACAUAAUUGUUGAAUAAUCUUUGGCGCUUCUUCCGAUUUCCCAUCUAGUGUGUCCAGCAACUUAGAUGCAGAUGUAUUAAGAAAUCUUGCAGCCUCCUCGUCAAAUAAAGUGCAACUUGUAGUAGAUGUAUGGUCACUAAUUUGGAGUCGAACACGGUACCUAACAUACAACUCAUGUUAGUGGAGAGUAAAUAUAAUAUAACAGUUGUUCAUAUUUUAGUAACAUAAUAUGCUUACCGAGGUGCGACCUUCUCUGGAUAUAUACCACAACUGUUGCAAUAAUACUUGUCGGUUUCUUUGGUAGCCAAUUUGUGACACUUAUCACAUGACAUGUACCACCAUUGAAUAUUUUCUUGCAAACGAUCUACUAUUGCUAUUGCUGCCAAUCUGAGAAGUUAGUGCACAUGAGGGAGGUUUGGUUAAAUUUGAGACAUCCAUAUGCAUAUGCACUUACUCUGGCAUUAGGAUUUCAAUCUCGCGGAGAUAUGAAGGUUGUGGGUUCUUCUUUGUUAUUCUUGUCUCCACAGGCUUCAUUUGUGUUAGUAGUCCAAUGACAUCUGUAUAUUUGUAUAUUAGUGAUAUAACAAUUAGAAAUAACAAUUAUUUGGAAGUCAAAAUUACAACUGUAAACAUACUUGAGCAUUGUGUAUCUUUUUCUGCCCUUUCUUCUAGUGUGUCCAUGGUAGCAAACUCGAAGCAAUAAUCUGGAAAAACUUCUGAAGAUCCUUUUAUCUCCUUUACCUUUGUAUUGUAUGCAAAAAAUAUUUGAAUUUCAUUGCUCACUGGCCUAUAUUUUGUGGAUUCCACAACCUUAAAAUUGUUGAAUGCAUAAACUGAUUUCUCAAUGAUUUUUGAUCUAAAAGUAUCUAUAAGAUUCUUCCAGAUAGUAGCAUGGAUUGAUUCACCCUGUCGAAAGAAUCAAAUAUGUUUAGUAAUUGUUGCUUCAUCUGACAGAAAAGUUCCAAUUAAUAUAUUAAAAAAAAGACCUGCUCAUCCAUCAGUAUCAUAUCUAGGCUAAUAAGAUCAUCGGUUGUAGGAUUGACUGAAUCCCACAUUCUCAUUACUUUCACUUGAAUGUUUCAAUUCUGUCCCCUUGUAGUUAAGUCGCUCAACUUCUUGUAUGCCAUAGUGUUAUGUCUUCAAAAUUAACAGGGAACAAUUUGUCAGUUGAAAUAGUAUUUAUGAAGAUUCUAUCUAGAAAAAGUAAGCUUACUAAAUAACAAUUACCAAUCUGAUGAUGCAGACCGAAAGUGGUUUCGGGUCACUUCUUCCGACGUUGAUUGGAGCAGUUGGGCGUAACUUCAUCGGGCGUCGAGUGUGCUUUGGCGUGACUUCGUCGGAAGUCGAUUGAAGCGGCUGGAGGUGGCUUUUGGUGUGGACGUCGAGUCGCGUGUGGCUUGUUCAAGUCGUGGUUGCUGACUUCUAACUGUUUGGUGGUUGCUUGUCCGGCCGGCUAUACUUAUAUAAUGGGUUGUGUUGAGGUGUCUUGGGUUGAGGUGGCUGAGACCGUGUGGAGAUCAGAUUGUGAAAUUGUCUGUAUUUGUUUCUGUUUUGGAACUUUCCUCGCGUGGUCUGGUGGUUGUCCUUAUUUUGUUUAGGUUCCUUAUUUGUUUAGGUUUGACUAUUAUUUUUUCUUAUCCUUGACCCAUUGAUGGAAAGAUAUUUUUUAUU